GACGAACGCUGGCGGCGUGCCUAAUACAUGCAAGUAGAACGCACAGUUUAUACCUUAGCUUGCUACACCAUAGACUGUGAGGUGAGAACGGGUGAGUAACGCGUAGGUAACCUGCCUGGUAGCGGGGGAUAACUAUUGGUAACGCUAGCUAAUACCGCAUAAUAUUGAUUAUUGCAUGAUAAUUGAUUGAAAGAUGCUAUUGCAUCACUACCAGAUGGACCUGCGGUGUAUUAGCUUGUAGGUGAGGUAACGGCGCACCUAGGCGACGAGACAGAGCCGAACGGCUAGGGUGCGCAGCCACCCUGAGACUGUGACAGGGCACAGACUCCUUCGGGAGCCAGCCAUAGGGAAUCUUCGGCAAUGAGUGGAAGUCUGACCGAGAUACGCCGCGUGAGGGUAGAAGGUUGUCGCACCGUAAAGCACUGUUGUCGGAGAAGAACGGGUGUGAGAGUGGAAAGUUCACACUGUGACGGUAUCUUACCAGAAAGCGACGGCUAACUACGUG
rnacentral:rRNA from 1 species